rnacentral:rRNA from 1 species
UACAGAGGGUGCGAGCGUUAAUCGGAAUUACUGGGCGUAAAGCGUGCGUAGACGGUUAUUUAAGUCGGAUGUGAAAGCCCCGGGCUCAACCUGGGAAUUGCAUUCGAGACUGAAUAGCUAGGGUACGGUAGAGGGAAGCGGAAUUUCCGGUGUAGCGGUGAAAUGCGUAGAUAUCGGAAGGAACACCUGUGGCGAAGGCGGCCACCUGGUUGGAUACUGACGCUGAGACGCGAAAGCGUGGGGAGCAAACAGG